rnacentral:rRNA from 1 species
UUGGAGGGCAAGUCUGGUGCCAGCAGCCGCGGUAAUUCCAGCUCCAAUAGCGUAUAUUAAAGUUGUUGCAGUUAAAAAGCUUGUAGUUGAACUUCGGGGUUUACCCAUUGGUCAGGCUUAAUUGUCUGUACUGGUGAGAUAAAUCUCUACCUUCUGAGGAACUUUCAUGCCAUUUAUUUGGUGUGAUUGGAAAUCAGGACUAUUACUUUGAAAAAAUUAGAGUGUUUAAAGCAGGCUAACGUCUGAAUAUAUUAGCAUGGAAUAAUGAAAUAGGACGGCUUGGUUCUAUUUCGUUGGUUUCUAGGAUCACCGUAAUGAUUAAUAGGGAUAGUUGGGGGCAUUAGUAUUCAAUUGUCAGAGGUGAAAUUCUUGGAUUUAUUGAAGACUAACUACUGCGAAAGCAUUUGCCAAGGAUGUUUUCAUUAAUCAAGAACGAAAGUUAGGGGAUCGAAGACGAUCAGAUACCGUCGUAGUCUUAACCAUAAACUAUGCCGACUAGGGAUCGGAUGAUGUUAAUUUUUUAAUGACUCAUUCGGCGCCUUACGGGAAAC